rnacentral:tRNA from 1 species
GGCGGCAUGGCCAAGUGGUAAGGCGGGGGACUGCAAAUCCUUUAUCCCCAGUUCAAAUCCGGGUGUCGCCUGAUCGACAAA